AAAAAGACAAACCCUGUUUUCCAUGUCCAACGUUUGACCGUUCGUCUUAUUUAAAAAAUUAUGAAAAAAAUUAUAAAAAAAUACUAAUUAUAAAAAAAUUUCAUAUAAGACGGACAGUUAAACGUUGGCACGGGAACCCACGGUUUGCCUUUUU
rfam:Oryza glaberrima chromosome 11 Oglab11_0030_12, whole genome shotgun sequence.